rnacentral:rRNA from 1 species
GACGAACGCUGGCGGCGUGCUUAACACAUGCAAGUCGAACGGAAAGGCCCUGCUUUUGUGGGGUGCUCGAGUGGCGAACGGGUGAGUAACACGUGAGUAUCCUGCCCUUGACUUUGGGAUAACUUCAGGAAACUGGGGCUAAUACCGGAUAGGAGCUCCUGCUGCCUGGUGGGGGUUGGAAAGUUUCGGCGGUUGGGGAUGGACUCGCGGCUUAUCAGCUUGUUGGUUGGGUAGUGGCUUACCACGGCUUUGACGGGUAGCCGGCCUGAGAGGGUGACCGGACACAUUGGGACUGAGAUACGGCACAGACUAGUACGGGAGGCAGCAGAGGGGAAUAUUGCACAAUGGGCGGAAGCAUGAUGCAGCAAAGCAGCGUGCGGGAUGACGGCCUUCGGGUUGUAAAACGAUUUCGACUGUGACGAAGCGUGAGUGACGGUAAUGGGUAAAGAAGCACCGGCUAACUACGUG